rnacentral:tRNA from 1 species
GGAAUUGUAUUUUAUAAAGAAACCUUGAUUUGCAUUCAAGAAGAAGGCAUUGCCUCUAUUCCAA